GUGAAUCAUCAAAUUUUUGAACGCAAAUUGCACUCCCUGGUAUUCCGGGGAGUAUGCCCGUUUGAGGGUCGUUAGAAGAAAAAUCGAAGCAUGGCUCUUUUUUUUGAGGGCGAUCGCGUCGGAAUUGAGCCGCAUUUCAAAAGUGAAUUCAUGUCAAAGUGGCUUAAGAUCCAUCCAUCCGGUACGAGUAAAGAGUAUAUAAGAUCAAUUUUGAU
rnacentral:misc_RNA from 1 species